GGAUAACACUUGGAAACAGGUGCUAAUACCGUAUAACACUAUUUUCCGCAUGGAAGAAAGUUGAAAGGCGCUUUUGCGUCACUGAUGGAUGGACCCGCGGUGCAUUAGCUAGUUGGUGAGGUAACGGCUCACCAAGGCCACGAUGCAUAGCCGACCUGAGAGGGUGAUCGGCCACACUGGGACUGAGACACGGCCCAGACUCCUACGGGAGGCAGCAGUAGGGAAUCUUCGGCAAUGGACGAAAGUCUGACCGAGCAACGCCGCGUGAGUGAAGAAGGUUUUCGGAUCGUAAAACUCUGUUGUUAGAGAAGAACAAGGAUGAGAGUAAAAUGUUCAUCCCUUGACGGUAUCUAACCAGAAAGCCACGGCUAACUACGUGCCAGCAGCCGCGGUAAUACGUAGGUGGCAAGCGUUGUCCGGAUUUAUUGGGCGUAAAGCGAGCGCAGGCGGUUUCUUAAGUCUGAUGUGAAAGCCCCCGGCUCAACCGGGGAGGGUCAUUGGAAACUGGGAGACUUGAGUGCAGAAGAGGAGAGUGGAAUUCCAUGUGUAGCGGUGAAAUGCGUAGAUAUAUGGAGGAACACCAGUGGCGAAGGCGGCUCUCUGGUCUGUAACUGACGCUGAGGCUCGAAAGCGUGGGGAGCGAACAGGAUUAGAUACCCUGGUAGUCCACGCCGUAAACGAUGAGUAUAGAGUGUUGGAGGGUUUCCGCCCUUCAGUGCUGCA
rnacentral:rRNA from 1 species